CUCUUCAACUGCUGGUUCUUCUGGUUUCUCUUCAAAUGCUUGUUCUUUAGGUGUUUCUUCCCAUAUUGGUUCUUCGGGUAUUUCUUCAAUCAGUGAUUUUUGAGGUUUCUCUUCAACAGUUGGUUCUUCAAGUUUCUCCUCAACAAUUGGUUCUUCAGGUUUCUCUUCCAUUGCUGAUUUUUCAGGUUCCACUUUAACUGUUGGUUCUUCAGGUUUUUCUACCACUGCUGGUUCUUCAGGUCGUACCUUAACCGCUGGUUCUUCAGGUUUCUCCAUAACUGUUGAUUCUUCAACUUUCUUUUCAAUUGCAG
rnacentral:lncRNA from 1 species